rnacentral:rRNA from 1 species
UACGUAGGGUGCGAGCGUUGACCGGAAUUAUUGGGCGUAAAGAGCUUGUAGGCGGUUUGUCGCGUCUGCCGUGAAAAUCCGGGGCUCAACCCCGGACUUGCGGUGGGUACGGGCAGACUAGAGUGUGGUAGGGGAGACUGGAAUUCCUGGUGUAGCGGUGAAAUGCGCAGAUAUCAGGAGGAACACCGAUGGCGAAGGCAGGUCUCUAGGCCACUACUGACGCUGAGAAGCGAAAGCGUGGGGAGCGAACAGG